rnacentral:rRNA from 1 species
AACGAACGCUGGCGGCAGGCUUAACACAUGCAAGUCGAACGAUGUAGCAAUACAUAGUGGCGCACGGGUGAGUAACGCGUGGGAAUAUACCAAUCAGUGGGGAAUAACUUUGGGAAACUAAAGCUAAUACCGCAUACGCCCGAGAGGGGAAAGAUUUAUCGCUGAUUGAUUAGCCCGCGUGAGAUUAGGUAGUUGGUGGGGUAAUGGCCUACCAAGCCUACGAUCUCUAGCUGGUCUGAGAGGAUGAUCAGCCACACUGGAACUGAGACACGGUCCAGACUCCUACGGGAGGCAGCAGUGGGGAAUAUUGGGCAAUGGAGGAAACUCUGACCCAGCCAUGCCGCGUGAAUGAUGAAGGCCUUAGGGUUGUAAAGUUCGUUUCGCCGAUGAAGAUAAUGACGGUAGUCGGAGAAGAAGCCCCCGGGCUAACCUUCGUGCCAGCAGCCGCGGUAAU